rnacentral:tRNA from 1 species
GCCGUCUUCGUCUAACUGGUUAAGACUCUCCCGAGAGGGUGGAAAUGUAGGUUCGAAUCCUACAGUCGGUA